GCUGACCCCCACCACACCACAACCUCCUUUCAGGUCACUGUAGAGAGAGAUAAGUUCUUCACUGAACCUCCUCUUGUUCAUCUUUUCCACAGCCAGCUCUGCCAGAGGAAGAUCUGCAUUUUAUGACAUCCAGUCUAUGCUUGGUACUCUAGCCACAGAAGACAGAAGAGCCCUGAGGAGAGCCCACCAGUGAUCUACAGCUGGGGAAAUACCCCAGAAUGACUGUUCCCAUCACUAACCUGGCCAUGUGCAGCAUGGGCUCCAUGAUGUUAUAGCCAGUCAUAGCACUGCACUCAUAGAAGACAGCCUUGUAUUCCUGCCAAAGAACACAGCAAGCACCAACGUCAGCUGCCAACUCUCCCCCAGCAUUCAUCCACACCUCUGGACACUGACCCACCUUGCCACCAGAAACUCUGCUGGCAGCACAUGGGGCCAGCAAUGCAGCUGCUACUGCUGUACCCACCUUGCCAGAACAUGAGAUGCAUUUUAUGCUACUGAAGUCCCAGAGUAUCCAGAAGGUAACAAGUGGGAGGUGUUUAGGAAGAAACACCAUCCCUUUGGGAUAAGUGGACUGCCUUACCUUUGUACUGCAAAGUCCAAAAGAUGGGGAAAACUUUUGAAACCCUUUUUGUCCCCUCCCCACAGGGCCCCCAGGGAUGAGAGGAUAAAGGUAGCAGCAGGCACACAAAUAGAGGUGGCAAGGGAGGAGACAGAGCAGGUACCACAGGAACAUUGGUACAUGUUUGUAUCAGAGUGAGGGCUGAGAGGGAAGGUACCAUACUGGGAAAUGGCUUCAAG